rnacentral:rRNA from 1 species
CCCUAGUAUUUAGAUUAUAAAAUUAUUAGUAUUAGUGAAAUUUAAUAAUUUUGGUGGUUAAUUGUUAUUUGGAGGAGCUUGUAUAAGUAGAAUUUACUCUUUAUAUUUUAUUAGUAAUUAAUUUAUUCAUCUCCGUUAUUAGAUUUAAAAGGGGAAGUCUUGGAAAAUUAUUAUUAGCAUUUCAGGUCAAGAUGUAGUCUUUACUAGAAUAUAUUAGCUACAUUUAUGAAAUUAGUGGAUUAUGAUGAUAAUAAGUAGAAAAUAAGAAAUUGAAUUUAGUUGUAAUAGUAAUUAUAAUGUUAUUGUGAAUGGAUUUAAUUAAUAUA